AGAGGCAAAAUCUAAAAGGGAGUUAAUGCACAGCAGCGGACCCACACUUAAAUGUGAGAACGGGUUCAAAACUAAACCAUAACUAAACCAUACCCAUACAUGUAUGUAUCAAAAUCAAACCUAAACCAUAGCCAAUUAAUACCAUUUUCAACCCAACCAAAACUAAACACAAUAUUUUCCUCACCCAAACCAGUUUGAACCCAAUACAUAACUAUGGGUUUAAACCAAAUACAAAACCAUAUUCAACUUUGGUUUAGCAGUGACAUGCCAAACAAUAUUUUGAACAAUAAUUUAACGGUGACAAUAAUUUAACAGUGACAUAACUAUGGGUUUAAUCUGAGACUUGUAUUAUUGCUCCCUCAGCCAAUAAAUAGGCUUCUUCGUCGCCGGCAUAUGUGAGAUCACUUUGCUGCCUGAUAAGGUGUGUAGCUCCCCCAGCCAAGCUGAGACACUUCCGCACCACCAUGCUAAACCACUGUUGCAUCACAAAGAGAGAGUUCUAUCAGAUCAUAAUUAUUUUGAGAAUGGAGAAGCAUAAUCAACAAACAGAAAUAUUAGACUGCAGAAAUUAAUGACUGCAGCAAUCACAAGUCCAACAGUAUAAAAUGAAACAGAAGCCGAAGUGCUUUCUGAUACCAAAUGAUGGCAGGGAAGUAUUUGUUCAGUUACGAUGCUCUCAAAAUACCCAAUACAGAAGUUAGUUACAAGACCUCAUAUUUACUUACCAUUUCUUAACCAAGUUUUUUUGCUAACAGCUAAGAUUUAAACCUCUGUCCAAAUGUAAAGCUCUUGCAGAAAUAACCAGAUGUUUAUUAUACUACUACGUAGUCUCGAAGCUCAGGAAAAAAAAUCUUUACAUCUCUAAGCAAAACUGGAUGUCUUGUGUUACAAGAUCAGGAUAUGCAUGCCGAAGGAGUUGUCCGGAGUAUAUCACAAACGUAACUCAUACUCCCUCUGUCUCAAAAUAACUGUCUCAAAUGUAGUAAGCUUGGGACAGUUAUUUUGGGACGAAGGGAGUAUAUAACAGGGGAGAACUCAUAUACUCCCUUCCUUAUUAACAUGGUAGUAUAUAGCAGGCAUCAGCAAUAUUAACAGGGGAGAGCUCACAUAGCAGGUCCUACUCAGAGCACAGGGAUUAAAACAGUAAAAACAUGAUAACAUGGUGUACUUACUUGGGGAAACUGAGAAUGUUCCGGAGGAGCCGAACCACUGAACUACUCUGCUGCACACAAACAAGUGAAAUAAGUAAGUCAUUCAACAAUGAUGUUAGUGUAGGAAUACAGGAAAGUUUGGCAGAAAGAUCCAAACAUCAAGAGAGGAAGGCUCAAAAAGACUACACGCUUUGCCUUGAGUCUAUGGGAACAGAGAUGCAAAGUUGCAGACACAAAACCCCCAAUCAAUCAAACAUAUAAAGAAAGCAUUGAUCGUAUUAGAUGCUCAGUAAUGGUACCCAAGAAUAGACCAGACCAGACUCAAUAGGGGGAAAAGAAGUUUUUUUUUACAACAGAUGGGAAAUCAGACCCCCGAGAAACCUCUGAAAACCCCCCAGAAUUUCUUUCACUGCAGAGAAAACCCCCAAAAGUUUGAUUUUUUUUGUUUGAAAAAAUAAAAUACGCCCUCUGACAUAGGACAAGAAGCAAAACGAAAAACCCUACGCAUACAGACUACAUCGAUAUAAUGGGUGGUGAUGGACAUGUAGCCCAAAUUUUGUGAUGAUGUCCACAUGUCAGAUGUUAAGCAAAUGCGGGAGUCCAAAUUUUGGAGCUCAACUUCGAUAUCUUUCUUCAUUCCCUUAUACAUCUUCAGUGCAUCAUCAUGAAUCGUGUGACGACCCUUGAUUUGAAAUGCUGGCUGCAAUGAGUCAAUCCAUGGCUGAAGGUGUGGAUCUUCAAACUUAGGAAAGGGGAUCUCAACAUGGAUGCAAAACUUGACCAUUAGUUCACGACUAACUUUUUCAUCAAACACUAACGGGCCUUCGGAUGGCUUUUUUUUCAUGGUCAAUAGGAACCUCUUCCUGCAAGCAUCCUCAAUUGAUCGGCAAGCCUCUGCAAUAUGGGUUUUCAAACUACUAGUCCCAAACUUGGUGUGAAAUUGCCCUCGACAGUAUUUGCACACGGCCUUGGGGUCUCCUUCUACGACAACCAGUUCUUGUUCAUAGUGCUCCCAUACUUUGGACCUUCUAGCAUGUGGUACUUGCCUCGUAUCCUCAUCCAUGGAAUCGGCAGUCUCAGAACCCUCUGAGGUAGACAUUCCUCAAAUUUUUAGAGCACACUACAUGGGAAAAAACCAAACCAUUUAAACAUAUAGAAUCAAAUUUAAACCAGCAAAGUAUAUUAGACAAAGAAACAACAUAUGCACCAGUCUCCGUUAUCUCCAUCAUCAACCAGGAAAUUCAGAGCAUUUUAUUAUUCGUUCAGAGAUGAGCACAGUACCAUCCAGAAUUACAGAAAUACAGAAACAGGAGUGUAUACAAAUACAGAAAUACGAUUCAGGAAGUUCGGUUGCCUAACUUGAUCAGAUGCUUGCAAGGUUAUCUCAACACUAAAUCAUUUGGAAAUAAUGACACGCAAUGGAUGUGAUAUUUGUCUGGCUGCGGAAACUAUGCAUCACAUCUAUGCAUCACACGCAAUGGAUGAGAUAGCAACUUCUUCGUCAACAACACAAGAAUUCUUCAGCUCAGCACAACCAUGGGCCUUGCAUGGAAAGCUGUGGCAUAUACUUUCUGCAGCUUGCGGAGUUACACUAUGGAGGGCCCCAAAUUCGUAAGUGUUGCAUAUGGAAUACUGACAGAACAGACGCAUUUGCUUUGAGAUUACAGAAUUGGUAAAUCUCUUGUCGUUAUGGGCCAAAGAAGACAACGCCCGGCAGGGGAUGCUAGCAUGGGCUGAUAACCUCCACUUUCCCUAUGUAUCUCUAUUUUAUAUUUUGGCUUGAUGAUGGCCUGCUGCACACGUCGUGCAGCGCUCACAUCAUCUUCAUGUAAAUGACUUCGAUCAUCCAGGCUACUGCUCAAACCAUUUAAAAAAAAUCUCCAUUUUAUCUAAUUUUAUUACACACUCAAGCCUGAAUCUUUCCCCCUCCAUGCUCGGAGUACAACAGUUGUAGUAGUAGUACUCUAGCACCACUCUCCGAGAAGAACAGAGCAUUGCAGAAGAGGGAAAUCGACACAUGCAUUGCAAAAGAGGGAAAUCGACAGAGCUCUUUUUCUUGGGGAGAUGAAAUUUGAAAACUGCUACAUGACCACAAAGUUCUUCCUGCUUCUUGUCCCGCAGUGAAACCUACCUAAAAGGCUCAGUUCCUAAAAUUUGGGCACAAAUAGCGAUUCCCCACGAAACCAAACAAGCAGAAAAUCGAGAUCACAGGAAGGAAGCAAUCACGGGAGGGGAGGGGAGGGGAGGGGAGGGAGGCUUACCAAGUGAUGGUCCGGGAAGGGGGCGACCGCUACUGCCCGCGCCGCGCGAUCUUUGGAGGCUCAGGCGCCGUGGUCGGGGAGAGGGCGGCCGACGGGGAGGAGGCCUGCGUGCGGCGGACGGCAGGGAGGAGGCCUGUGUGCAGCGGCCGGUGGGGAGGAGGUGGUGCGGGCGUGUUGCGGCCGGCGGGGAGGAGCUUGUGCGUGCGGCGGCGGCGAGGGAGGAGAAGGUUGUGCGGGCUUGCUCGCAGUUGUGGCCGAACCAAUGCAAUGACCGGGUUCUACCCACAGUUCAAGUCCAAAAUACAUAAAACGGUUUAGGCCCAUAA
rnacentral:lncRNA from 1 species